GUGAGGAGAGCGGCGGGGGAUUCUCCACCGCGCCAUUUCGCAGCCGGGCAGCCUGAGCCGGCCGCCGGCGGGCAGGGCCGGCGGGCUCCUCAGCUCGGCCGGGCGGGCCGGCACCCCCCGCCGGGCCGGCCGUGCCCGUCCCCCCGCUCCGGCGGCGUGAGGGGCGGCGGCGGGCCGGCACCGUCCCCGUCCCCGCCGGCGGGCAGCGGCGUGUGGAAGGAAGGGAGGGAUCAAGAUGGCUGCGGCGGCGGCGGCGCGGGCGGCCCUUACCUGUUUUCUCCUUGAUCUCGCAGAGGACACUGAACAAGGCUUUGGUCAGUGAUGGUCAUGAUCUGAUGGAGGAUGUCGCCGAUGUCCUGCUUCCUGCCGUCGCCGUCUGCCCCGUCGUGCCCGUGGGGAGGCGGCAGGGCCAUGCCCCCCUGCACCGAGUGGCCGGCCAGGUUCACGCCGGCCAGGGUCUGCAGCAUCCGGGACUGAUCGUCCAUCGCCUCCGGCCGCGGCCCGGCCGGGCGUGGGGGCGGCGGCUCCGCUCGGCCCCGGGCUCCGCUCGGCCCCGGCUCGGCUCAGUCCCGGCUCCGCGCUCCCGGCCCCGCUCCGGCACACGCACACCGCGACCGGGGCAGCGGGGGCGGAGGGGAGGAACGCCAGGCGAGACACCGACAACAACAAAAAAAUCGGUAUUUGUGUUUGACCGGAUCUCAGCUGUUUAUUCCACUCUCUUCUCCUUCCCCGUGCAGUAAAUCACUCUCUUCUUUAGUUACAAUCUUCUUUCAUCAUCAUCAUAUUUGUGGCUCGGAUAAAUGACUCGAUAAGGUUUCUUUGCAGUUUUCUUUUCUUGGUACAAUCUUCCUCCAAAGCUUGUUUGGUUUGGGGUUAGUUUUGGGUUUUUUUUCCUCCCCUGUUUUUUUAAAUUUUUAUUGUUGCUUUUUAUGCCUUUCCCCACUUGUCCAAAAAUCUUCUUUGCAAAAAGGCAAAAUUAAAAAAAAAAAUAAUACAAAAGCAAAAAAAA